AGAGUUUGAUCAUGGCUCAGGACGAACGCUGGCGGCGUGCUUAACACAUGCAAGUCGAACGAUGAACCACUUCGGUGGGGAUUAGUGGCGAACGGGUGAGUAACACGUGGGCAAUCUGCCCUUCACUCUGGGACAAGCCCUGGAAACGGGGUCUAAUACCGGAUAUCACUUCCACUCGCAUGGGUGGGGGUCGAAAGCUCCGGCGGUGAAGGAUGAGCCCGCGGCCUAUCAGCUUGUUGGUGAGGUAAUGGCUCACCAAGGCGACGACGGGUAGCCGGCCUGAGAGGGCGACCGGCCACACUGGGACUGAGACACGGCCCAGACUCCUACGGGAGGCAGCAGUGGGGAAUAUUGCACAAUGGGCGAAAGCCUGAUGCAGCGACGCCGCGUGAGGGAUGACGGCCUUCGGGUUGUAAACCUCUUUCAGCAGGGAAGAAGCGAAAGUGACGGUACCUGCAGAAGAAGCGCCGGCUAACUACGUGCCAGCAGCCGCGGUA
rnacentral:rRNA from 1 species